CUUGAGCCGUGGCUUUCGGAGCUAACGCGUUAAGUAGACCGCCUGGGGAGUACGGUCGCAAGAUUAAAACUCAAAUGAAUUGACGGGGGCCCGCACAAGCGGUGGAGCAUGUGGUUUAAUUCGAUGCAACGCGAAGAACCUUACCUACUCUUGACAUCCAGAGAAGCCAGCGGAGACGCAGGUGUGCCUUCGGGAACUCUGAGACAGGUGCUGCAUGGCUGUCGUCAGCUCGUGUCGUGAGAUGUUGGGUUA
rnacentral:rRNA from 3 species